rnacentral:rRNA from 1 species
AAUGGGCGCAAGCCUGAUCCAGCCAUGCCGCGUGAGUGAUGAAGGCCUUAGGGUCGUAAAGCUCUUUCGCCAGGGAUGAUAAUGACAGUACCUGGUAAAGAAACCCCGGCUAACUCCGUGCCAGCAGCCGCGGUAAUACGGAGGGGGUUAGCGUUGUUCGGAAUUACUGGGCGUAAAGCGCACGUAGGCGGACUGGAAAGUUAGGGGUGAAAUCCCGGGGCUCAACCCCGGAACUGCCUCUAAAACUAUCAGUCUAGAGUUCGAGAGAGGUGAGUGGAAUUCCGAGUGUAGAGGUGAAAUUCGUAGAUAUUCGGAGGAACACCAGUGGCGAAGGCGGCUCACUGGCUUGAUACUGACGCUGAGGUGCGAAAGUGUGGGGAGCAAACAGGAUU